GUAAGGCUACACAGAUUAUGUUAGACAGAACACCAUAUACACAGUAUGAUCAUAACAUGCAAAAGACCAAAUGCAGGAAAUUAUGUCUGUUUUUAUUCUUUAAAACAAUAUUUAUUUACAGAACAUCUGAAGACAGGCUGGAGCUGGACAUUACUGACCAGAGAGAUGUAGGAGGAGGACAUUAUUGACCAGAGAGAGGGAGGAGGACAUUAUUGACCAGAGAGAGGGAGGAGGACAUUAUUGACCAGAGAGAGAGGGAGGAGGACAUUAUUGACCAGAGAGAGAGAGGAGGAGGACAUUAUUGACCAGAGAGAGGGAGGAGGACAUUAUUGACCAGAGAGAGGGAGGAGGACAUUAUUGACCGGAGAGAGAGAGGAGGACAUUAUUAACCAGAGAGAGGGAGGAGGACAUUAUUGACCAGAGAGAGGAGGAGGACAUUAUUGACCAGAGAGAGGGAGGAGGACAUUAUUGACCAGAGAGAGAGGGAGGAGGACAUUAUUGACCAGAGAGAGGGAGGAGGACAUUAUUGACCAGAGAGAGGGAGGAGGACAUUAUUGACCAGAGAGAGUGAGGAGGACAUUAUUGACCAGAGAGAGAGAGGAGGACAUUAUUGACCAGAGAGAGAGGAGGAGGACAUUAUUGACCAGAGAGAGAGAGGAGGACAUUAUUGACCAGAGAGAGGGAGGAGGACAUUAUUGACCAGAGAGAGGGAGGAGGACAGUAUUGACCAGAGAGAGGGAGGAGGACAUUAUUGACCAGAGAGAGAGAGGAGGAGGACAUUAUUGACCAGAGAGAGGGAGGAGGACAUUAUUGACCAGAGAGAGAGAGGAGGACAUUAUUGACCAGAGAGAGAGAGGAGGACAUUAUUGACCAGAGAGAGGGAGGAGGACAUUAUUGACCAGAGAGAGAGAGGAGGAGGACAUUAUUGACCAGAGAGAGAGACUGCAGGACAUUAUUGACCAGAGAGAGGAGGACAUUAUUGAUCAGAGAGAGAGAGGAGGACAUUAUUGACCAGAGAGAGAGAGGAGGACAUUAUUGACCAGAGAGAGAGAGGAGGACAUUAUUGACCAGAGAGAGGGAGAGGGACAUUAUUGACAAGAGAGAGAGAGGAGGAGGACAUUAUUGACCAGAGAGAGAGAGGAGGACAUUAUUGACCAGAGAAAGAGAGGAGGACAUUAUUGACCAGAGAGAGAGAGAGAGAGGAGGACAUUAUUGACCAGAGAGAGAGAGAGGAGGACAUUAUUGACCAGAGAGAGGGAGGAGGACAUUAUUGACCAGAGAGAGAGAGAGGAGGACAUUAUUGACCAGAGAGGCAGGAGGACAUUAUUGACCAGAGAGAGAGGGAGGACAUUAUUGACCAGAGAGAGAGAGGAGGAGGACAUUAUUGACCAGAGAGAGAGAGGAGGAUAUUAUUGACCAGAGAGAGGGAGGAGGACAUUAUUGACCAGAGAGAGAGAGGAGGACAUUAUUGACCAGAGAGAGGGAGGAGGACAUUAUUGACCAGAGAGAGAGAGGAGGAGGACAUUAUUGACCAGAGAGAGAGGAGGACAUUAUUGACCAGAGAGAGGGAGGAGGACAUUAUUGACCAGAGAGAGAGAGGAGGAGGACAUUAUUGACCAGAGAGAGAGAGAGGAGGACAUUAUUGACCAGAGAGGCAGGAGGACAUUAUUGACCAGAGAGAGGGAGGAGGACAUUAUUGACCAGAGAGAGAGAGAGGAGGACAUUAUUGACCAGAGAGAGAGGGAGGACAUUAUUGACCAGAGAGAGAGAGAGGAGGACAUUAUUGACCAGAGAGAGAGAGGAGGACAUUAUUGACCAGAGAGAGGGAGGAGGAGGACAUUAUUGACCAGAGAGAGGGAGGAGGACAUUAUUGACCAGAGAGGCAGGAGGACAUUAUUGACCAGAGAGAGGGAGGAGGACAUUAUUGACCAGAGAGAGAGAGAGGAGGACAUUAUUGACCAGAGAGAGGGAGGAGGAGGACAUUAUUGACCAGAGAGAGGGAGGAGGAGGACAUUAUUGACCAGAGAGAGGGAGGACAUUAUUGACCAGAGAGAGGGAGGAGGACAUUAUUGACCAGAGAGAGGGAGGAGGACAUUAUUGACCAGAGAGAGGGAGGAGGACA
rnacentral:lncRNA from 1 species